AGGCUAUGGAGUCUCUCAAUUUCUCGAGCUAGAUCAGCUAACUGAGAUGAAGAGCUGCUCGAUAUGCUCGCUCUUGCUGAUAGUGAAUCCAGUAUCAAUCUGAUCUCCCUCUCAAUAUCAAGAUCCUGUCAUUAAACCUAAGCAUAGAGCUCUCUACACUUUCCAAUCUGGAGCUCUGGUCAGACAAUAGCUGUACCAAGGAAAAAAUGUGUGGCAC
rnacentral:lncRNA from 1 species